rnacentral:rRNA from 1 species
AGAGUUUGAUCCUGGCUCAGGAUGAACGCUAGCGACAGGCUUAACACAUGCAAGUCGAGGGGCAGCGGUGGUGAAGGCUUGCCUUUACCAGCCGGCGACCGGCGCACGGGUGAGUAACACGUAUGCAACCUGCCUGCCACAGCCGGAUAAUCGGGAGAAAUUCCGUCUAAUACGGCAUAAUGCAUCGACGGGACAUCCUGUUGGUGCCAAAGGUUGAUUCCGGUGGCGGAUGGGCAUGCGUCGCAUUAGUUAGUUGGCGGUGUAACGGACCACCAAGACGACGAUGCGUAGGGGUUCUGAGAGGAAGGUCCCCCACACUGGUACUGAGACACGGACCAGACUCCUACGGGAGGCAGCAGUGAGGAAUAUUGGUCAAUGGGCGGGAGCCUGAACCAGCCAAGUCGCGUGAGGGAUGACGGCCCUAUGGGUUGUAAACCUCUUUUGCCGGGGAGCAAAGUGCCGCACGUGUGCGGUUUGGAGAGUACCCGGAGAAAAAGCAUCGGCUAACUCCGUGCCAGCAGCCGCGGUAAUACGGAGGAUGCGAGCGUUAUCCGGAUUUAUUGGGUUUAAAGGGUGCGUAGGCGGACGCUUAAGUCAGCGGUAAAAUUGCGGGGCUCAACCUCGUCGAGCCGUUGAAACUGGGUGCCUUGAGUGGGCGAGAAGUACGCGGAAUGCGUGGUGUAGCGGUGAAAUGCAUAGAUAUCACGCAGAACUCCGAUUGCGAAGGCAGCGUACCGGCGCCCAACUGACGCUGAAGCACGAAGGCGUGGGUAUCGAACAGGAUUAGAUACCCUGGUAGUCCACGCAGUAAACGAUGAAUGCUAGUUGUCCGGGGCGAUUGAGUUCUGGGUGACACAGCGAAAGCGUUAAGCAUUCCACCUGGGGAGUACGCCGGCAACGGUGAAACUCAAAGGAAUUGACGGGGGCCCGCACAAGCGGAGGAACAUGUGGUUUAAUUCGAUGAUACGCGAGGAACCUUACCCGGGCUCAAACGCAGGAGGGAUGUUUUUGGAAGGAGGCAGCCAGCAAUGGUCUCCUGCGAGGUGCUGCAUGGUUGUCGUCAGCUCGUGCCGUGAGGUGUCGGCUUAAGUGCCAUAACGAGCGCAACCCCUACCUACAGUUGCCAUCGCGUGAUGGCGGGCACUCUGUGGGGACUGCCUGCGCAAGCAGUGAGGAAGGCGGGGAUGACGUCAAAUCAGCACGGCCCUUACGUCCGGGGCGACACACGUGUUACAAUGGCAGGUACAGCGGGAAGCCACCCGGCGACGGGGCGCGGAACCCGAAAACCUGUCUCAGUUCGGAUUGGAGUCUGCAACCCGACUCCAUGAAGCUGGAUUCGCUAGUAAUCGCGCAUCAGCCACGGCGCGGUGAAUACGUUCCCGGGCCUUGUACUCACCGCCCGUCA